rnacentral:lncRNA from 1 species
UCGACGAGAAAAAGGCUGCUCGUGUUUGUUCGUCGGAUGGACGUUGGAGAGGACAAUGAAGCAGCAGCGGCUGGAGGAUCUAUGGCUGCCGAAGAUGGAAUGUGAAGCAUCAUGUAUGGAGGAUCGUUUUUUUAUUGGGGUGGUUUGAAAAAAGAAAGGUGGGGGUGCUUGGUGUGCUGAAGGUUUUUAGAGGAUUAGGGUCUUUUGUGUGAG